rnacentral:rRNA from 1 species
AAGGUGCUGCAUGGUUGUCGUCAGCUCGUGCCGUGAGGUGUCGGGUUAAGUCCCAUAACGAGCGCAACCCUUAUCGUUAGUUGCCAGCUGGUAAAGCAGGGGACUCUAGCGAAACUGCCACCGUAAGGUGAGAGGAAGGUGGGGAUGACGUCAAAUCAGCACGGCCCUUAUGUCCAGGGCUACACACGUGUUACAAUGGCCGGCACAGAGGGCAGCUACCUGGUGGACAGGAUGCUAAUCUCGAAAACCGGUCUCAGUUCGGAUCGAAGUCUGCAACUCGACUUCGUGAAGCUGGAUUCGCUAGUAAUCGCGCAUCAGCCAUGGCGCGGUGAAUACGUUCCCGGGCCUU